UUUAAAGAGUGCGUAACAGCUCACUAGUCGAGCGAUUUGGCAUGGAUAAUAAUCGGGCAUAAAACAUACUACCGAAGCUAUGAACUCGAAAGAGUGGUAGGAGAGCAUUCUAACAGCGCUGAAGGUGUACCGUAAGGUAUGCUGGAGUGGUUAGAAAAGAAAAUGUAGGCAUAAGUAACGAUAAUGCGGGCGAGAAACCCGCUCACCGAAAGACUAAGGUUUCCUGAUCAACGCUAAUCGGAUCAGGGUUAGUCGGGACCUAAGGCGAACCCGAAGGGGGUAGUCGAUGGACCAUGGGUUAAUAUUCCCAUACUACCGUUAACAGCGAUGGAGUGACGGAGAAGUGAAAGGCUCGCGUACUGACGGAAUAGUACGUUAAAGGGUGUAGGUAUAAGGACUGAUAGGAAAAUCCGCAGACCUUGCUGAACCUGAUAGUACCGUGAGUCUUCGGACAAGCGGAUAAUGUCCCUAAACAGACUUCCAAGAAAAACCUCUAAGCUUCAGAUUAUAAGAACCCGUACCGUAAACCGACACAGGUAGUUGGGAUGAGAAUUCUAAGGUGCUCGAGAGAUUCAUGGCUAAGGAACUAGGCAAAAUGGACCCGUAACUUCGGGAGAAGGGUCGCCCUGUAGCAAUACAGGGCCGCAGUGAAAAGGUCCAGGCGACUGUUUAUCAAAAACACAUGGCUUUGCUAAAUUGAAAGAUGAUGUAUAAGGCCUGACACCUGCCCGGUGCCGGAAGGUUAAGGGGGGGAGUUAUCCUUUGGGAGAAGCU
rnacentral:rRNA from 12 species